GAGUUUGAUCUUGGCUCAGAACGAACGCUGGCGGCAGGCUUAACACAUGCAAGUCGAACGCAUCCUUCGGGGUGAGUGGCAGACGGGUGAGUAACGCGUGGGAACGUGCCCUUCAGUUCGGAAUAACCCAGGGAAACUUGGGCUAAUACCGGAUACGUGCGAGAGCAGAAAGAUUUAUCGCUGAAGGAUCGGCCCGCGUCUGAUUAGCUAGUUGGUGAGGUAAUGGCUCACCAAGGCGACGAUCAGUAGCUGGUCUGAGAGGAUGAUCAGCCACAUUGGGACUGAGACACGGCCCAAACUCCUACGGGAGGCAGCAGUGGGGAAUAUUGGACAAUGGGCGCAAGCCUGAUCCAGCCAUGCCGCGUGAGUGAUGAAGGCCUUAGGGUUGUAAAGCUCUUUCAGUGGGGACGAUAAUGACGGUACCCGCAGAAGAAGCCCCGGCUAACUUCGUGCCAGCCGCCGCGGUAAC
rnacentral:rRNA from 1 species